GGAGCUGCCCCGCCGCCGCCGCAGGCCUGACUUAGAGGGCGAGGCCGAGGAGGGUUCUGGGGUUGGGCCGCAAGGCCCACCCCGCCGCCCGCGGUGCGGCGCCGACGGAGGCGGAGCUCAGGCCGCGCGUGACAGCAGGAGAAUUGCUGACCUUCAACCAUAAAACCAGGAUGACAAAGAACUAGGAUGACCCACACUGGACCAACACUUGACCAGUUUCAAGAUCCGUAUCAUAAUGGACUGUGCUGGACUGCAGUCAAUGCCUAGAUAUACAGCUGGACAUAGAACAGACCUUCAGAUACCCCUCUGAUUAUGCACCGAAGGACUCCUAUUCAGACCAUCUGGCAUCCAUUAUCCUGACCACCUGACACCUGACUGAUAACUGCCCUGGACCAAUCCUGGAUCAACCAGUAAUUCUCAGUGAUAUCUGAGCUGAGCUGCAAGGAAUGAGAAGAAACCUGUCAUGUGAAGAUCUGGGAAGAGAGUGUGCCAAGCAGAGGAACAGCAAGUACAGAUUGUGAG